GCGAGGAGCGGGGCGGAGCCAUUGUGAAGCCAGAGGCUGAGCUGACCAAGGGAGCUAGGGGUGCGGCUCGGUGCCCCUAGGAGGCCUGCGGACCUGCUACCUUCUCCGGCCUUCCUCCUGGCUGGGGCGAGGUCACUGAGUGGCUGCGGUGCUGCCGAGGCCCAGGUGCAGUGUUUUGCGGCGGCGACCCCCGGGCCGGGGGGCCGGGGAAUGGCGCUGACCCUGGAGACCUCGAUCCCCUGCGCUGCUCUUGCAGCUCAGGCUGCAGAAUUGUGUAACCCGUGACCUCCGGUUCCCCCUCCGCCGCGACUGUAAGGCCACCCCGGCCCUGCCACCCGCGCUGUGUGGUUCGCUGACUUGUGCGCCCACGGAUCUGCUUCGGAGUUCCGCCGCUGGAGAUGCCUCCUUCCUCCAGCGCAGCCAUGUUGGAUUCCCUGACUGUCACCUAGCAACCUCUGGCCAUGCCCCCUGACGUCCACCGAGCCCUGCCACCACCCCGUGAUUGUGAACCUCAGCCCCUGGCAGGCGCCAUGUUGGCAUCCCUGUCCGUCACCCAGCAACUGCUGGCACCACCCCUGACAUCACCACAGCGCCCGCCCUGCAUCCAGCCUCCUGUACUGUUGUCAUUUCCUGUCUUUAAUUUUUGUGAAUGAACGUGGGCUGGGAGUUUGAAUGUGCGCAUUGGUCAGAGGUCUGGCAGAGGCGAGAAGGAGUGACAGUCCCAUGGAAGAAAUCAAGACUGAAUUCCUUUUUAUUUGUGAUAACAUCCCAUUGUGAAGUUGUGAUCCAGAUUCUCUGAGCACCUAAAUAUUCACAUCGUCCAAAGCUGACUUCUAAAGUGGAGUUCAUUUCACCAUAAAUGAUAACAACCUUUGCUGAAGAUGCCAUAAUUUGCUUAUCAUAUAUCAAAGACUCUGUCAGUGGCUAUUCCUGGUUGUCAACUUGACUAUAUCUGGAAUGAACUACAGACUAGAAUUGGAAGGCUCACCUAUGAACCUAAUUUGGAGGCUCAGAGAUAUAAGUUUCUGACCUGGAUCUUGGCAUGGAGAACUUGAAGCAUAGCGGCUAAGACAAGGAGAUCUCCGAGUUCAAGAUCAUUUGGGAUUAAAGGUAUGGAUGCACAUGCCUUUAAUCUGGGCCACACCCUCUGCUGGAGAUCCACAAGCUAAUAAUCUGGGCCACACUCUCUGUUGGAGACCUACAGCCUUUAAUCUGGACUACACCCUCUG